rnacentral:rRNA from 1 species
CUGCCCACUGAAUAAUUUUAAAUGGCCGCAGUAUCCUAACUGUGCAAAGGUAGCAUAAUCAUUAGUCUUUUAAUUGAAGGCUGGUAUGAAUGGUUGGACGAGGUAUUAACUGUUUCAAAUAAAUUUAUAAUUGAAUUUUAUUUUUUAGUCAAAAAGCUAAAAUUUUAUUAAAAGACGAGAAGACCCUAUAAAUCUUUACUUUUAAAUUUAUUUUAAUUAUUAAGAUGAAUUUUAUUAUAAUAAAAUUAAAAGUUUUAUUGGGGUGAUAUUAAAAUUUAAUGAACUUUUAAUUUGUAAUGACAUUAAUUAAUGAAUAGUUGAUCCGUUAUUAACGAUUAAAAAUUUAAGUUACUUUAGGGAUAACAGCGUAAUUUUUUUGGAGAGUUCUUAUCGAUAAAAAAGAUUGCGACCUCGAUGUUGGAUUAAGAAAAAUUUUAGGUGUAGUCG